CCCCGCCAACUCGCGGUCGGGAACGCCGCGAACCCCGAUUCCCCUCAAGCUGCGCCCGCUCCCGGUCGGUGGCGGCAGCAGGGCCUGUCGGGGGUCGGCCGCGCGGGUCCCCCUCCGCCCGGGGCCUCGCAGGAGGCCGUGGGCCUGCGCGCGCUGCCCCGGCUAGGCCAGAAUAACACGCGCGUCCUGGUUUUAAUUCUUGCCCCGGCCCCCUGGGUGCUGCUGUGGGUUAGCUGCCAAGAUUGAGGAUUCCUCGCUCCUCUUUCUCUCUUUCCCCUCUGUAGUUUUAAGCUAUAAGAUUAAUCAUGAGUGACCAAAUCAAAUUCAUCGUGGACAGCCUCAAUAAGGAGCCUUUUAAGAAGAACUAUAAUUUAAUCACAUUUGAUUCUUUGGGACCAAUGCAACUAUUACAAGUUCUCAAUGAUGUC
rnacentral:lncRNA from 1 species